UGGGGUGAAGUCGUAACAAGGUAUCCCUACCGGAAGGUGGGGAUGGAUCACCUCCUUUCUAUGGAGAAAGAGACGUUCUGUUUAGUUUUGGAAGAAUUUCUUCCAANGUUGAUCUUUGAAAACUAGAUAUCUUCAUUCAGAAGAAACAAACAAUAGAUUUGAUUUAGG
rnacentral:misc_RNA from 1 species